CCACCAAUAGCUCAGUUGGUAGAGCGGGAGACUGUAGUAGCAUCCAUCCAAUCAAGAUGGUUAACCCUGACAUCUCUAGGUCAUCUGUUCGAAUCAGGUUUGGUGGA